CCUACGGGCGGCAGCAGUGGGGAAUAUUGCACAAUGGGGGAAACCCUGAUGCAGCGACGCCGCGUGAGUGAAGAAGUAUUUCGGUAUGUAAAGCUCUAUCAGCAGGGAAGAAGAAAGACGGUACCUGACUAAGAAGCCCCGGCUAACUACGUGCCAGCAGCCGCGGCAAUCUGUAGGGGGCCAGCGUUAUCCGGAUUUACUGGGUGUAAAGGGAGCGUAGACGGUUGUGCAAGGAUGAAGUGAAAGCCCAGGGCUCAACCCGGGGACUGCUUUGGACAUUGGGGAGCUAGAGUGCUGGAGAGGUAAGUGGAAUUCCUAGUGUAGCGGUGAAAGGCGUAGAUAUUAGGAGGAAUACCAGUGGCGAAGGCGGCUUACUGGACAGUAACUGACGUUGAGGCUCGAAAGCGUGGGGAGCAAACAGGAUUAGAUACCCGGGUAGUC
rnacentral:rRNA from 1 species